rnacentral:lncRNA from 1 species
UAAUGUUGUAAGGUUAAUGUAGUAAGAUUUAGUUGUCAUUGUUUGAGUUCGAUUGAUGUUACCUUUUAUGUUCUAUUGUAAGGUAGUAAGGUGUUACCUAUGUUGUUAAUGUAAUAAGGUUUAGUAAGGUUAAUGGCAUGUAAGACUGGUUUGAUGUUGUAAUUGAUAUUAUGUCACAAUUCAAUUAAGUGUGAUGUUGUAAUUGAUGUUCUGUCACAAUUCACAAUGCAACUCAAUUUUUCUAUCACAA